rnacentral:rRNA from 1 species
AGGUUGAUCCUGGCUCAGGAUGAACGCUGGCGGCGUGCCUAAUACAUGCAAGUCGAACGGAAAUUUAUCGCUGAAGUGGGUUUACUCAAUUCUUGAUAAAUUUUAGUGGCGGACGGGUGAGUAACGCGUGGGUAACCUGCCUUACACUGGGGGACAACAGUUGGAAACGACUGCUAAUACCGCAUAAGCGCACAGAAUCGCAUGAUUCAGUGUGAAAAACUCCGGUGGUGUAAGAUGGACCCGCGUCUGAUUAGCUAGUUGGUGAGGUAACGGCCCACCAAGGCGACGAUCAGUAGCCGGCCUGAGAGGGUGAACGGCCACAUUGGGACUGAGACACGGCCCAAACUCCUACGGGAGGCAGCAGUAGGGAAUAUUGCACAAUGGGGGAAACCCUGAUGCAGCAACGCCGCGUGAGUGAAGAAGUAUUUCGGUAUGUAAAGCUCUAUCAGCAGGGAAGAAAAUGACGGUACCUGACUAAGAAGCCCCGGCUAACUACGUGCCAGCAGCCGCGGUAAUACGUAGGGGGCAAGCGUUAUCCGGAUUCACUGGGCGUAAAGGGAGCGUAGACGGCAUGGCAAGUCUGAUGUGAAAGCUCGGGGCUCAACCCCGGAACUGCAUUGGAAACUGUCAAGCUAGAGUGCAGGAGAGGUAAGUGGAAUUCCUAGUGUAGCGGUGAAAUGCGUAGAUAUUAGGAGGAACACCGGCGGCGAAGGCGGCUUACUGGACUGUAACUGACGUUGAGGCUCGAAAGCGUGGGGAGCAAACAGGAUUAGAUACCCUGGUAGUCCCCU